AUGGUGGCAUAAAAUCGGAGGCCACGACUGUUUACUAAAAACACAACACAGAGCAAUCAUUAAGAUAAUAGUAUACUGUGUGAAAUUUGCUCGAUGCCAUUAAUAUAAGAGAAGUUAUGGAUUUGUUUAUUAUAGCAAUACUGUGACCUAUCGAAAAUCUGGUUAAUAGCGGUCUUAACUAUGAGGAUCCUAAGGUAGCAAAAUCAAUUGGCCAUUAAAUGUGG
rnacentral:rRNA from 1 species